CCGCUAGUAGCUCAGAUGGAUAGAGCAUCCGCCUUCUAAGUGGAUGGUCACUGGUUCGAGUCCAGUUUAGCGGA
rnacentral:tRNA from 1 species